AGUGAACGCUGGCGGUAGGCCUAACACAUGCAAGUCGAACGGCAGCACAGUAAGAGCUUGCUCUUACGGGUGGCGAGUGGCGGACGGGUGAGGAAUACAUCGGAAUCUACUUUUUCGUGGGGGAUAACGUAGGGAAACUUACGCUAAUACCGCAUACGACCUACGGGUGAAAGCAGGGGAUCUUCGGACCUUGCGCGAUUGAAUGAGCCGAUGUCGGAUUAGCUAGUUGGCGGGGUAAAGGCCCACCAAGGCGAUGAUCCGUAGCUGGUCUGAGAGGAUGAUCAGCCACACUGGAACUGAGACACGGUCCAGACUCCUACGGGAGGCAGCAGUGGGGAAUAUUGGACAAUGGGCGCAAGCCUGAUCCAGCCAUACCGCGUGGGUGAAGAAGGCCUUCGGGUUGUAAAGCCCUUUUGUUGGGAAAGAAGAGCAGCAGGUUAAUACCCCGCUGUUCUGACGGUACCCAAAGAAUAAGCACCGGCUAACUUCGUG
rnacentral:rRNA from 1 species